rnacentral:misc_RNA from 1 species
GAUGAAGAACGUAGCGAAAUGCGAUAAGUAGUGUGAAUUGCAGAAUUCAGUGAAUCAUCGAAUCUUUGAACGCACAUUCCGCCCCAUGGUAUUCCGUGGGGCAUGCCUGUUCGAGCGUCAUUUACCCCCUCAAGCUCCGCUUGGUGUUGGGCGUCUGUCCCGCUUCGCGCGCGGACUCGCCCCAAAGGUAUUGGCAGCGGUCGUGCCAGCUUCUCGCGCAGCACAUUGCGCUUCUCGAGGCACCGGUGGGCCCGCGUCCAUCAAGCUCACCCCCCCAGUUUGACCUCGGAUCAGGUAGGGAUACCCGCUGAACUUAAGCAUAUCAAUAAGCGGAGGA